rnacentral:rRNA from 1 species
GGUUAAGCGACUAAGCGUACACGGUGGAUGCCCUGGCAGUCAGAGGCGAUGAAGGACGUGCUAAUCUGCGAUAAGCGUCGGUGAGGUGAUAUGAACCGUUAUAACCGGCGAUUUCCGAAUGGGGAAACCCAGUGUGUUUCGACACACUAUCAUUAACUGAAUCCAUAGGUUAAUGAGGCGAACCGGGGGAACUGAAACAUCUAAGUACCCCGAGGAAAAGAAAUCAACCGAGAUUCCCCCAGUAGCGGCGAGCGAACGGGGAGGAGCCCAGAGCCUGAAUCAGUGUGUGUGUUAGUGGAAGCGUCUGGAAAGGCGUGCGAUACAGGGUGACAGCCCCGUACACAAAAAUGCACAUAUUGUGAGCUCGAUGAGUAGGGCGGGACACGUGGUAUCCUGUCUGAAUAUGGGGGGACCAUCCUCCAAGGCUAAAUACUCCUGACUGACCGAUAGUGAACCAGUACCGUGAGGGAAAGGCGAAAAGAACCCCGGCGAGGGGAGUGAAAAAGAACCUGAAACCGUGUACGUACAAGCAGUGGGAGCCUCUUAAUGGGGUGACUGCGUACCUUUUGUAUAAUGGGUCAGCGACUUAUAUUCUGUAGCAAGGUUAACCGAAUAGGGGAGCCGAAGGGAAACCGAGUCUUAACUGGGCGUUAAGUUGCAGGGUAUAGACCCGAAACCCGGUGAUCUAGCCAUGGGCAGGUUGAAGGUUGGGUAACACUAACUGGAGGACCGAACCGACUAAUGUUGAAAAAUUAGCGGAUGACUUGUGGCUGGGGGUGAAAGGCCAAUCAAACCGGGAGAUAGCUGGUUCUCCCCGAAAGCUAUUUAGGUAGCGCCUCGUGAAUUCAUCUCCGGGGGUAGAGCACUGUUUCGGCAAGGGGGUCAUCCCGACUUACCAACCCGAUGCAAACUGCGAAUACCGGAGAAUGUUAUCACGGGAGACACACGGCGGGUGCUAACGUCCGUCGUGAAGAGGGAAACAACCCAGACCGCCAGCUAAGGUCCCAAAGUCAUGGUUAAGUGGGAAACGAUGUGGGAAGGCCCAGACAGCCAGGAUGUUGGCUUAGAAGCAGCCAUCAUUUAAAGAAAGCGUAAUAGCUCACUGGUCGAGUCGGCCUGCGCGGAAGAUGUAACGGGGCUAAACCAUGCACCGAAGCUGCGGCAGCGACACUAUGUGUUGUUGGGUAGGGGAGCGUUCUGUAAGCCUGUGAAGGUGGCCUGUGAGGGUUGCUGGAGGUAUCAGAAGUGCGAAUGCUGACAUAAGUAACGAUAAAGCGGGUGAAAAGCCCGCUCGCCGGAAGACCAAGGGUUCCUGUCCAACGUUAAUCGGGGCAGGGUGAGUCGACCCCUAAGGCGAGGCCGAAAGGCGUAGUCGAUGGGAAACAGGUUAAUAUUCCUGUACUUGGUGUUACUGCGAAGGGGGGACGGAGAAGGCUAUGUUGGCCGGGCGACGGUUGUCCCGGUUUAAGCGUGUAGGCUGGUUUUCCAGGCAAAUCCGGAAAACCAAGGCUGAGGCGUGAUGACGAGGCACUACGGUGCUGAAGCGACAAAUGCCCUGCUUCCAGGAAAAGCCUCUAAGCAUCAGGUAACAUCAAAUCGUACCCCAAACCGACACAGGUGGUCAGGUAGAGAAUACCAAGGCGCUUGAGAGAACUCGGGUGAAGGAACUAGGCAAAAUGGUGCCGUAACUUCGGGAGAAGGCACGCUGAUAUGUAGGUGAAGCGACUUGCUCGUGGAGCUGAAAUCAGUCGAAGAUACCAGCUGGCUGCAACUGUUUAUUAAAAACACAGCACUGUGCAAACACGAAAGUGGACGUAUACGGUGUGACGCCUGCCCGGUGCCGGAAGGUUAAUUGAUGGGGUUAGCGGUAACGCGAAGCUCUUGAUCGAAGCCCCGGUAAACGGCGGCCGUAACUAUAACGGUCCUAAGGUAGCGAAAUUCCUUGUCGGGUAAGUUCCGACCUGCACGAAUGGCGUAAUGAUGGCCAGGCUGUCUCCACCCGAGACUCAGUGAAAUUGAACUCGCUGUGAAGAUGCAGUGUACCCGCGGCAAGACGGAAAGACCCCGUGAACCUUUACUAUAGCUUGACACUGAACAUUGAGCCUUGAUGUGUAGGAUAGGUGGGAGGCUUUGAAGUGUGGACGCCAGUCUGCAUGGAGCCGACCUUGAAAUACCACCCUUUAAUGUUUGAUGUUCUAACGUUGGCCCGUAAUCCGGGUUGCGGACAGUGUCUGGUGGGUAGUUUGACUGGGGCGGUCUCCUCCUAAAGAGUAACGGAGGAGCACGAAGGUUGGCUAAUCCUGGUCGGACAUCAGGAGGUUAGUGCAAUGGCAUAAGCCAGCUUGACUGCGAGCGUGACGGCGCGAGCAGGUGCGAAAGCAGGUCAUAGUGAUCCGGUGGUUCUGAAUGGAAGGGCCAUCGCUCAACGGAUAAAAGGUACUCCGGGGAUAACAGGCUGAUACCGCCCAAGAGUUCAUAUCGACGGCGGUGUUUGGCACCUCGAUGUCGGCUCAUCACAUCCUGGGGCUGAAGUAGGUCCCAAGGGUAUGGCUGUUCGCCAUUUAAAGUGGUACGCGAGCUGGGUUUAGAACGUCGUGAGACAGUUCGGUCCCUAUCUGCCGUGGGCGCUGGAGAACUGAGGGGGGCUGCUCCUAGUACGAGAGGACCGGAGUGGACGCAUCACUGGUGUUCGGGUUGUCAUGCCAAUGGCACUGCCCGGUAGCUAAAUGCGGAAGAGAUAAGUGCUGAAAGCAUCUAAGCACGAAACUUGCCCCGAGAUGAGUUCUCCCUGACUCCUUGAGAGUCCUGAAGGAACGUUGAAGACGACGACGUUGAUAGGCCGGGUGUGUAAGCGCAGCGAUGCGUUGAGCUAACCGGUACUAAUGAACCGUGAGGCUUAACCUU